rnacentral:rRNA from 1 species
UACGGAGGGGGGCAAGCGUUGUCCGGACUUACUGGGCGUAAAGGGUGCGUAGGCGGCCUGUUGCGUCGGUGCUGAAAGCGCCCGGCUUAACCGGGCGAGGCGUGCCGAUACGAGCGGGCUGGAGCCUUGGCGAGGGUGGCGGAACUCCUGGUGUAGUGGUGAAAUGCGUAGAGAUCAGGAAGAACACCCGUGGCGCAAGCGGCCACCUGGCCAAGAGCUGACGCUGAGGCACGAGAGCGUGGGGAGCGAACCGG